GUUUCUUUAAAAUGGAAUCUUCAAAUGCUUGGUAACCAGCUCCUACCAAAUUAUUCAAUCGAUUAUGUUCUGGUGAUCUCUCAGCACUGGGCAUCUCUACUGAAGAAACCGGUUGAAGAGGCAAAACUAGCAAAGGGUUAGAUAGAUCACCAAGCACAGAUCUAGUAGAGGAAACUGCAGCAUCUUUACUUGACAUUACAAUGACUGCUGAACCUUUCUUCUUCUUGUUAUGUCUAAUGACAACAUCUUCAACCUCACCAAACUUUGAAAACAUCUCUCUUAAUUUCUCUGCUGUGUAAUCCUCACCA
rnacentral:misc_RNA from 1 species